AUGGUGCCUUUCCAUCCUGCCCCGGGACAUGUGGGGAAGUGUUGGGGUGAAUCGUGGCACAGACAUCCCCUUCUGGGGACAAGGAGGGCAGCUGGGCUUGGGGUGACUGCUGAAAAGUGGCCACCCACCCUGAGCUGCUGGAGACCCCGGGAGUGACAGCGGGGGCAGCUCAGGGUGAAGGUGGAGCUGGUCCCCAGGUGGCACAGAAGGAUGGGAGCGGGACAGGGGCACUCACCCGGCAUUCAGCAGAACUGACGGGACUUCCAGCCCUGAGAACCAGCCUCGGAGGGAGGGAGCCAGCGCAUCUGCGAAGACAAGGGGGACACAAGGUGAGAGGGAGGUGGCUGCCCACCCUGGCAAGAUCUGGCUGUGUCUGGGCUCCCUUUUCCUGGCUUUUCCCAGGCACAGGGCGGAGGGAGGUUGGAACACCAGCAGCACAGCCAUCCCAUCUCCAAUUCCAAACAGUAACACCGAGGCUGAGCACAGUCCCUGGCGCCCCUGCUUCCAGCAGGAUGGAGCUGGGACAGCAGCAUCAUGGUCCCACUGAGCAGGAGUGAGCUCAUCCUUCUUAGCUCCUGCAAAGCCCACUUGAAACAGGGCGGAAAACAUCACAUGCCAGAAUUUGGCGUGCAAGCGCUCAGUGCUCUGCCAGAUAACUCCAAGCCAGCCCCACCAUCCAUCCUGCAGUUCCUGGUCUCUCUGCUGUCUGCAGGAUCCAGCGAAGCAGCUCCAGUUUGGAUGGUGGCACCAGUCUCCAACACCCCACCCCCCAGCAAACCCCCAACACCGGCAGCUGCACAGGAGGAUGGGAAGGUGCUACCAGCACCCUCCCCACCACGUUGAUAUUUCACAUCAGCUAAUAUUGCUUCUGUCUAACAUCAGGUCUCGGGCUGGGUUUUCCCAAGGGACCCUCAGAGCUUCUGUACGCCUGUUUCCUUGGCUAUAUGCUUUCCUGAGCAGGGCAGGUGCUGCCUGUUAGCAGUUAUUUGACAAGGCAAGUACGUAGCUGCAAUAUUAUUUACCAAUGCUCUUCCUAUGAACAGCAGGGCCCAAAAAGCUGGAGUUUGAUCCAAAGGCUGCACAUUGCUUGCACACUGAGCACUUCUCCUCACCCUCCUGCUCAAACCAGCCCCUGGCUGCUCCAGGUCCCAGUGAUGGUGGCUCUGGAUAACCUGGCUCAAUCCUGAGGCGCCAAGGCCAAAAGCCUUUCAGAUGCAGUUUGGCUGGCAAAUCUAUUUCCACGUGCUUGUUGAACUCCUGUUCAUCACUGAGGUGGAGCAGGCAGCAAGGAGCAAAAGCCAGCAUGAUGUCCAGCACGGAUGCUGAGGAGGCGGAUGGUUAAUUUUUAACAGCCACAUGCUGCCAUCGGGGGCCACCGGCAGCGGCAGCCAGCAGGAAGCGCUUGUGAGGAGGCAGCACCUCGUCAAUAAAAGAUGGAUCCUCCAUUUGCGCUUCACUUCCCUCUCCUCCCCAGUGAGAGCUGCUUGGCUUCACACCCCACGAACAGCGCGCAGCGAUGCUCCAGGGGCAGCCAGGGGUUCUGGAGCCCUCGUCCCACACUGGCCAGCUGGAUGGGCGGUUCGGUGCCAGGAGCGACGGGGAUGCUCCAGACCCUGAGAGCAUCCCCAGCCUUCCCUCCUCCCUCACCACCUGCCCCACCACAGGAGCAGAGCUGGCCCCGGAAAAGUCUGAGAUGCCACGGCUGAGAGCCGGCUCACAAAGCCAACACAGAAUUCACCCGCUGGGAUAACACAGGGUGAGCAAUGGUACAGGGCUGGGGGCAUCAUUCAGGGAGCCCAGGCUGGGCUCGUUGUCUCUAAGAGGUUUAGUAAUCCCAGGGAUUCAGGAGAGGAGAGAGUGCAGCUCAUGCCUGCGUGCAAUAGCAAGGUGAGGAGCUGGUGUCUGCAUGAGAGAAGCUCUUCUGGAAGCGGAAACAGGCAUGGAGCACUCACAAGACAUUGCCAAGGUCUCUCCUGAGACCUCAUCCUGCUCCCAGGCACCGUGCCAGGCUGGCUGUCACCUGUCCCAGGUCCUCUCCAGCACCAGCAGUUCCUUCAGGAACCCCCAGGACGUGCCACCACGCAGCAAGCAGACUUAGCUGGGAUUUUUCCUGCUGAGUAAACAGGAGAGGCUGGGAAUGCUGUUUCUCACUUGUAUCUAAGGCUGGAGUCAAGACCUCCUGGAUGGCCCUGAGAAAGGUGAGAGGGAUGCAGCCCCCCCAGGAAGGAGGAUGCAGAGGGAUGAUACCAGCCUGAGAGGAACCUCCUGGGCAGACAAAAGCCUUAAGCCACACCUGAGUGAUGCCGAAUUUUUGGGAGGGGUGUCCCUAUAUCCUCCAUGUGGCCACAGAGGAAGCUGCUAAGGCAUCAUGGAAAGGUAACAGGGACCUGCUCUAACCCUACCAGUCCUCUCCAGGAUAAAAAACUCACAGAAUCCCAGCACCUUCCUACCCCUGUCUGGCAAACAGGAUUUCUCCGUCAUCUCGGAUCCCGGACUCCACAGACAAUGCCUAUUGUCUCAGUUUAAUUGCAGCAGCUCAUUAAGGACUGGGAGAAACAAACACCAACUCUUCCUCCUGGAGGAAAGGCCCUGCUUUAGAGGGGGCUGGAUUUAAUCAGCUUGUCCCUGAUAAGCUAUCUCCCCCAUCUCCCAGCCUGGGAGCAGCAAACAUUCCUGCUUUGUGGAAGAAAACCUCUGGCUGACCUGUAUCUAUUAAAUAACAAAAGACAGAUCCUCCUGAGCUGUCCAGGGAAUCGGCUCUCCAGACACAUCCACCCUCCCAGGUGGGGUUACAUCCCGAGCAGGCCGAGCAUCCCUGCACAGUGUCCCCUCUCUCCCUCACCCCUGGAGCCAUCCCUGGCUUUCUGCCUCUGGAGAACUUCAGGAAGCAUUAGGGAACUUGGCCACAGCUCCUCUGGGAGGGACUGGUGGGAGUGGGGGAACCCGCUGCCAGUUUGCCGCAUCCCUGAAAUCCAAACCGUACGUGCCCAAGCCUGCCAGGCCAUUUAUCCCCAAAGCCACAUGGGAGAGAGACAGAGAUGAAAGACCCAAGGAACCCUCCGAAAUUCAGCCCCAGAGAGGAAGGGCUUCUCCUCUCUAAUGACUUUGUUUUCUUUGCAAGUUCAAAUGCGGGUCGGCCAAGUUUGAAUCUGUAAAAUUAUACAGCAGCAAGAAGGAGAAGGGCUCCAAAGGAUCCCCCAGCUGGACUCCAGCCCCAAAAGGGUUUUUGGGACUCAGGGCAGGGGAUGGAGGUGAGCUCCUGGGUGCUCCCCACGUGCACCCCGCAAAUGUACCCAGCCCCAGGGAUGUUUGAGUGGGUGCUACAUAAACAGUGUUGUUUCACUGGGUAACGAGCAGGUGGGACUGGCAGAGCAAGGGAGCAUCCAAGGGGAUAAUCCCAGCAGGCUGGACAGAUAUUCUUUUGCCAAGGGAAAGAUUCCUGACAGAAGUAUUACUCCUGCCCUUAAAUGGACAGGGAGCUUUGGCCCACAGGGAGCUCCUCCAGUUUUUUUUUUUUUGUGCUGAGAGAUCCCAAGGAUUCAUUCCCCAUCCUCUACUAGAAACACUCCUGGGGGAAAAUCUUUCCCUGAAGCAGGAAAAAAAAAAAAAAAAUAAAA